GUGCUCGCUUCGGCAGCACGUACACUAAAAAUGGAAUGAUACAGAGAUUAGCAUGGCCCCUGCGCAAGCAUAACACACAAAUUUGUUAAGUGUUCCAUAUUUUU
rnacentral:snRNA from 1 species